AGAGUUUGAUCAUGGCUCAGGACGAACGCUGGCGGCGUGCCUAAUACAUGCAAGUUGAGCGAAUCUUUGGGAGCUUGCUCCCGAAGGUUAGCGGCGGACGGGUGAGUAACACGUGGGCAACCUACCUAUAAGACUGGGAUAACUUCGGGAAACCGGAGCUAAUACCGGAUAAUUCUUUUCUACACAUGUAGAAAAGCUAAAAGACGGUUUACGCUGUCACUUAUAGAUGGGCCCGCGGCGCAUUAGCUAGUUGGUGAGGUAACGGCUCACCAAGGCCACGAUGCGUAGCCGACCUGAGAGGGUGAUCGGCCACACUGGGACUGAGACACGGCCCAGACUCCUACGGGAGGCAGCAGUAGGGAAUCUUCCGCAAUGGACGAAAGUCUGACGGAGCAACGCCGCGUGAGUGAUGAAGGUUUUCGGAUCGUAAAACUCUGUUGUUAGGGAAGAACAAGUACGAGAGUAACUGCUCGUACCUUGACGGUACCUAACCAGAAAGCCACGGCUAACUACGUGCCAGCAGCCGCGGUAAUACGUAGGUGGCAAGCGUUGUCCGGAAUUAUUGGGCGUAAAGCGCGCGCAGGCGGUCCUUUAAGUCUGAUGUGAAAGCCCACGGCUCAACCGUGGAGGGUCAUUGGAAACUGGGGGACUUGAGUGCAGGAGAGAAGAGGAAUUCCACGUGUAGCGGUGAAAUGCGUAGAGAUGUGGAGGAACACCAGUGGCGAAGGCGACUCUUUGGCCUGUAACUGACGCUGAGGCGCGAAAGCGUGGGGAGCAAACAGGAUUAGAUACCCUAGUAGUCC
rnacentral:rRNA from 1 species